CUCUAUGCAGGAUGUUUUGUUUGCACUGCAUUAUGCGUGUGAAAGAGAAAAGGAAUUCAAGGGAAUGGCACUGAGAAGAAAACAGAAAUCUAAAGGAUAAGGUACAUGAGGCCAGAGAUGAAGGAGAGAGAGGGAGAGAGAGAGAGAGAGAGAGAGAGAGAGAGCGAAAGAGAGAGAGAGAGAGAGGGCAGUAUUGCUGUGCGUGUUUGCAGGAGAGUGACAGACAAACAGACUAGAGAGGGAAAGAGGAGAGAGGUUAUUGCUGGAAAGCGUGAAGACAAUAAUGUAAACUGACAUUUCAGAAAUUAGAUGCCGGUUGCCUUGGCAACAGGCCCUGGGCUAGAGGGCUACCAGGAAAAGGGUGAGGAUGGGUGAGGGUGAGUAUGAGUGCGGGCGAGCGGGGCUGCAAGAGCACUGAGAUAGUGAGUAAAUUGUGUUUGAUUAGCAGCGCAAUCAUUUGAAAAGAGCAGAGAGACGCCUGUGGCGAUGCAUCCAGCCAAUCAAUGCAGGAGAGGAAAGUGCUGUGGAGGACGUGCAAACGUAGCUCUGAAGGGUUUGCUCCUGUUUUCACAGGUGAUGCUUGCCUUAAGAAGCUCUGGUAUUUGUCUCAAACCAAUGAAAACAAAUCGGCUGUGCUUGAGAUGUGAGGCGGAAAAUGACUGAGCUGCUUCGAAUUUCAUUCUUCGUCAAAGUGAGCUGAGAAAUGUGGUCUACGGUGAUGCCAGAGGUGGAAAUAAAGCCAACCCAGAGCUUUAUGAUUAUACUAUACAUUUAUGUCAUAUAUCAUGUUCUGCAUUAUUUCAUUUACAUAUAAAGGAAUGAAUCACUUAUAUUUAUGUGCAGUUUUGUAUUUUAGUUUAAUGAAAAAAAAACAAUCCAUACGAAACAAAAAGCAUAAUUUCUUGACUUUAAACAUUUUUUUUAUUAAUCUCUCAUUUUUCAAGCCUAGUUUUCUUUUAACUUUUUUGAAACAAGGUGGAAAUAUUUAUUCACUGUAUAAACUCAGUUAUACUCUCAAACAAGAGUGAGGUUUAAAUGUUGGGGAUUUUUGUCAGAUGAAUAUCAGUUUACUUCUUCUUGUGAAUAUUGCAGAGAGUAGGAAGUGUGACGGCAUCAAAGAACUGCAGCGCUCACGUCCGUCAACACGAAUAAAGAUACGUUUAAAAGGAAGUCUCUGAAGCCCAGCAAGAACGAACAGACACACAUCAAAGAGCCAGAAACCCAGAAAGACAAGAUACCAGCUGGACUUAAAUGUGGAGUCAUUUACGAAAUCCCAUGCAAACUCUGCAAUAAAACAUACAUAGGAGAAACCGGACGCCAACUCAACACACGAACAAUAGAACAUAGAAAGGAGUGCGAGAAAGAAGCAAGUCAAAAACACACAAGAGCAGCAAAAGAAGAAGCAGAAAGCACAAUGAAGAAGUCAGCCGUAACAGAUCACUGCAUAAGAGAAAACCAUAUAAUGGUCUGGGACAACACAAGGAUCAUAAACACAGAACAACAACAAUACAAAAGAUGGAUAAAGGAAGCUAUAGAGAUAAGGAGACGUGGAUGUGGGACCAUGAACAGGGACGAUGGAGUUUACUCGUUGGAUCGUACAUGGGACUGCAUCAUCAGAGAGGGGAGAACGGGCAGCAGAGGCGACAAUGUCCUCUGCUGCCCGCAGAUAAACGGAGAAGGAAGUGACGCCACAAUCGGCAUCAGACUGAUGAGGUUUGCAGCCGCAAACGAAACGUUGCAGGAGAGGGAGUGACCCAGUUGUUCCUGAUCAGCAAUCAGCGGGGUGGUUUCCUAUUUAAGGUGGAUGGAGGACACAAUUCGACGCCGGAAGAUUGCCUCGGCUUUGGAUUCCUGUCGGUCUCAUUGGAUACUAACCUCUACUCCAGGAGUUGGACAUUCAGCACGUGGACCUCAUCACCAACCUCCAUAACCCACCUCUCAUCUCACCCAGUGCCCCAUCCGCCAGGACGCCCUGCUUCUCUCCGCCUCUGCUCCCUCUCCUGCGCUUCCCCCAGCUCUCUACCUCUCCCUCCUCCAGACAACAUAUACACGCCCCACAACGCUGAGCUGUCGUAGCAGUUCCAACCACAGACUUAUCUGUGCAUCCUAAGUUCCUCCUUUAUAAAUAAAUCAUUUUACCAUCCAUUUUGGGUCUGUUGCAUUCUGCAUGUCUUGGGUUAGGUACCUUCCUCCAAACAUGACACCACGGUCUGUUUGUGAACAGUCUUUACUGAUCACAGCUCAGUAUUUGUUUAACUCCAAUGCUAACAGGAGUUACACAAGAUGUUUUAAACAGUUUAUAUAAACACCAGCUGACAGGGUCCAUAAAUAGUGUUUUAAACUGUGUUUAGACACUCAAUAAAACAGUGAUUAUUAGGGCAGUUUCAUGCAGGAUUCUGACCCACUCUGACAGGGAAGUGAGGGACAGUGAUCUUGUGUUAUCUCACUGCUAACUCUUGAAUUAAACGUAAUCAAAGUGGAUCUAACUUUGAGGUUUUAAA